UACGUAGGGUGCGAGCGUUAAUCGGAAUUACUGGGCGUAAAGCGUGCGCAGGCGGUGAUGUAAGACAGAUGUGAAAUCCCCGGGCUCAACCUGGGAACUGCAUUUGUGACUGCAUCGCUGGAGUGCGGCAGAGGGGGAUGGAAUUCCGCGUGUAGCAGUGAAAUGCGUAGAUAUGCGGAGGAACACCGAUGGCGAAGGCAAUCCCCUGGGCCUGCACUGACGCUCAUACACGAAAGCGUGGGGAGCAAACAGG
rnacentral:rRNA from 1 species